rnacentral:rRNA from 1 species
UACGGAGGAUGCGAGCGUUACCCGGAUUUAUUGGGUUUAAAGGGUGCGCAGGCGGCACGGCAAGCCGGCGGUCAAAUCGCGGGGCUCAACCCCGCCCAGCCGUCGGAACUGCCGGGCUAGAGUGGGCGAGAAGUGCGCGGAAUGCGUGGUGUAGCGGUGAAAUGCAUAGAUAUCACGCAGAACUCCGAUUGCGAAGGCAGCGCACCGGCGCCCUACUGACGCUCAGGCACGAAAGCGUGGGUAUCGAACAGG